GAUCAUGGCUCAGGAUGAACGCUAGCUACAGGCUUAACACAUGCAAGUCGAGGGGCAGCAUGGUCUUAGCUUGCUAAGGCCGAUGGCGACCGGCGCACGGGUGAGUAACACGUAUCCAACCUGCCGUCUACUCUUGGACAGCCUUCUGAAAAGGAAGAUUAAUACAAGAUGGCAUCAUGAGUCCGCAUGUUCACAUGAUUAAAGGUAUUCCGGGUAGACGGAUUGGGGG
rnacentral:rRNA from 1 species